rnacentral:misc_RNA from 1 species
ACAAGCAUGCAAGAAGCAAGAUCGUGCAAUGUGAGUGUCGGAGACGCGUUUGUCGAUCCGUGAAGGGCCAGCGGAGGGAAUCGAGGUCCGAAACCGCCAUCCUGGCUUCGAACAUCCCUCGUCAGUGAUGCGACCAUCGUUGUCCGCGCCGAAUGUUCUCCUCGAUCAGAACGUCACACGCGCGUCCCCGAGAUUUGUGCGGCUGCCUGGAAUGCGAAACGUUUGCGGUUCGACCGUCUGCCCUGAGUCUAGUUCACCUACGGUGUUCUUGGAUUCGCUCCAAGCUACGCUAAUUAGGGGAAACAAGGGGCUUCCACGUUGCGAUUACACCAAAGGGAAAUCCAUAUUGUGAAUGUCCGAGUGACUGACUGGACCGUUCCCCUACUAUCUCUACGCUUUUCUCGCCCUGUAUCCUCUGAGCUCUGGUUUCAUUCUACACUCCUCUCGUCUAUCCGACGCGAUAUCUACGAGGCUGUAGUGCAUCAUCAACGAUGGACAUGCAUUUUCGUCCUGCAUCAGAUAUUAAAGGGUGCUCGGUGAGUGGCAUUACUCGCGACGUAAAAUUAAAUGCGUCUUCUGUUCGAAUUGCUCUUAAAUCUAUCGAGAUAUACCUACUAGCUCUAAAUACACGUUAUGCUUUUACGAUCCUUUCUGUUAAAAUUCUCUCUGUUAAUCUUUCGUACG